AUUGAACGCUGGCGGCAGGCCUAACACAUGCAAGUCGAACGAGUGGCGGACGGGUGAGUAAUGUCUGAGAAACUGCCUGAUGGAGGGGGAUAACUACUGGAAAAGGUAGCUAAUACCGCAUACCAUCGGAUGUGCCCAGAUGGGAUUAGCUAGUAGGUGGGGUAAAGGCUCACCUAGGCGACGAUCCCUCGCUGGUCUGAGAGGAUGACAAGCCACACGGGAACUGAGACAGGGUCCAGAUUCCUACGGGAGGCAGCAGGGGGGAAUAUGGCACAAUGGGCGCAAGCCUGAUGCAGCCAUGCCGCGUGUAUGAAGAAGGCCUUCGGGUUGUAAAGUACUUUCAGCGGGGAGGCGUGACCCGCAGAAGAAGCACCGGCUAACUCCGUGCCAGCAGCCGCGGUAAUAC
rnacentral:rRNA from 1 species